CCCGCUGAACUUAAGCAUAUCAAUAAGCGGAGGAAAAGAAACUAACAAGGAUUCCCCUAGUAACGGCGAGUGAAGCGGGAUGAGCUCAAAUUUGAAAUCUGGCUGGUUUACUAGUCCGAGUUGUAAUUUAAAGAAGCGUUUUCGGUGGCAGCCUGGGUAUAAAUCCUUUGGAAUAGGGUAUCAUAGAGGGUGAGAAUCCCGUCUUUGACCUAGUGCAUGCUACUAUGUGAUACGUUUUCAAAGAGUCGAGUUGUUUGGGAAUGCAGCUCAAAAUGGGUGGUAAAUUUCAUCUAAAGCUAAAUAUUGGCGAGAGACCGAUAGCGAACAAGUACCGUGAGGGAAAGAUGAAAAGAACUUUGAAAAGAGAGUUAAAAAGUACUUGAAAUUGCUAAGAGGGAAGCACUGAAAACCAGAAAAUUUGAAAUGGUAACUCGCGUGUAUAUUUACUACUCGCUCCUGGAUCCGAGUCACCCAGAGAGCUUUACGGCCUGCUGGGAGCGCGGUGAAAGUGUGAGUGGGACCUGUACUGUGAGUUAUGUCAAAAUGAGUUAUGUUCGCGAGAGAAGGCUAUUGCAACGGUAGGACUAAAGUAGCAAUACCAAGGUCUGAAGUGCGGUAGUGAUCUAUUUAUCGUGGGUGUGAUUGAGGUAACGAAAGGCGCACCACUAGGUUUUCGGUUCUCAUUGUUCCUGGGUUCCGAGGUGGCGUGUACAACAAAGUUGUGCUGUUGCUGAAGGUUCCUACUGGCGUUGAUGAAUCAGACGCUGCCUUCGAGAUUUUGACUUAAUGGUUUUCAUUGACCCGUCUUGAAACACGG
rnacentral:rRNA from 1 species